rnacentral:lncRNA from 1 species
UUCAUUGUAUUUCUUAUUGUGAUGUUAAAGUUUUUAUUUAUGAGUCAAGGUAAAAAUGAAAAAAAAGUGAAAACAUGUAAUAAAAAAUUAAUAUGUUUUCAAGGGCAAUUGUUUUUUUUGUUUUCCUUACUUUCCUUAUUUUUUUUUGAGAACACACCUGUGGCAUUAGUCACAAUGUUGAAGUAGUACUUUCCCAAAAUUCAACCACCCUGCUCAACAACAUAAAGGUAUUAUUUUU